rnacentral:lncRNA from 1 species
UGAAUUAUAAAUCUACAACAAAUGUAUACAAUAUAGACAAAAUUUCUACUAACUACAAAAUCAAACAUUAUAUAGGUUCAUAAGGAUAAGAACAAUUUUUUUUAGCUUUUACCUAAAUUUAUUUUUGAAACUAAUAAAUUCUUACUUUCACCAAUGACUGUUGGGGAAUAGUUUUAACAGAUUUUGAACUUUCUUCUUUUUUUGAAGCUUUUACAUUAGGAGACACUUUAACUUUUUUGCAACUUUAAUGGCAGCUUUUUCUUCGACAAAAUCAUCAUCAAAAUCAAUCUCUUUGCCUUUCCUUUUCGCAAAUUUGACAAGUAUCGGAGAUUUACCAGCAUCAAUAUUGUGCUUUUGCUUUGUUCGAGCUUCUGCCCUAGCUUAAUGAGGGGAAAGCUUGGGCAUGUUCUCUUCUUUUGCAUGAGCUGAUUUUGAAGCCUUUUUGGAUCAAUUUGCUGAGAAAACACCCAAAUCAAAUGCAGGAACAUCUUCUCCUUUGUCUUUUGUAGGGAUGUUCUUUUAAGAUAUCUUCUUCUUUAUUAAAAAUCAAGUUCAUCAGAGACGUUAAUGGAAGUAGGAAUUUUGAAUAAGAGUCCCAAUUUCAGCUGGUUUGUGAAGAAGAGAUGGAAU